AUCAUCUAGAAUAUAAUCCUGCCCGGCUGCAGCAUCAUCUUUGUCCCAGCUGAGGCACAGGCUGGGACAAAGACCACAAAGACCUAUCAGACUGCAGCAUGAAAACAGAGAGGAGGGGGUUGCAGUAGCCUGCAGUGAUUGAAUGAAGAGACCCAGUGAGGCAAAGCAGACUCAGGAAGGGAGAUAAUGCAUGGUGAGGAGAGCGGGCUAAGUGGUUGCCCAGACAUGCCCCUUCAUAAGCCUUGGAUGUCAGAAUGAGCAAGCAGCAGAACAGAGGAAUUUGUGAGCCACAUACAGAAGCUAGACACAUAAAAUAGAUAUGUAAAGAAUCUGCACAACCUAAUAUGGUAUUUGUCUAAGAGAGUCUAUAUACAACCGCUACAUAUGAACACAGGAAAUACUAGAAAUUAUAGGUAUUUAACUCCUUUUACUAAACUGGUACAAGAACCAUGAAGAAUCCAACAAUAACCCUACCUCCAGUGCUUCACUAACAGCUUCCACUUUGUCAGGAAGGAUUGCAGUGUUCUGUAUCCGUUCUUCCAAGUAUAGCGCAGUCAAUUCUAGGAGCUUGGAUGACAAGGUGAGAUGUCACAUCAUAUCUGACAGCAGAAUGAAGCAAAACUGUCGUCUGUUUCCUAGGCAACAAAAAGAAUUUCAAAAGAGGCCAAGUAUAUUAACGG